rnacentral:piRNA from 1 species
UCAGUGUUCUGGGUGCUGAGAUUGCAGG